UUAAUUGUGUAUGGAAAAUACCAUUAUAUUUAUAAACAAAAGUGGGCAAACAAUAAAACAUCAACAACUGAUGCAACAUAUCGAGACUUUAAAGAUGCAAGAAAUAAAAAAGGCAAAAUGAAUUUCCUGCAUAAUUUAUUUGGUAUUUGUUUCUUUCUGUUCAUUUCCCUGUGACUGUAUCAGUGAGUACAUUGUGUAAAUCCUCUGUAUGCAUAUGCAUGUAAAUGUAUGUAAAUGUUCUUGUUCUGCAUUAAAAAAACAUUAAGGGAUUUUACAGAAGACAGAAAACAGGAUGGAAAGUAAACCUAUAAAUAAAUAAAUGCUUCCAAAUGUACAAGCGGAGCUGUAAAGAUGAGACGGUUCUCUGUUAUAUCUUUAUUUCUCUGCUAAUGCAAAUAAGACAACAGUCAACAUUUACAGUCUCUUUCUUAAUUCAGGUUUCUUAUUGUGAGCGAUUCAUCCGUGCACGUUUGCAUAAAUAAAUCAAUAAAAUGUCCUAUUUGUUCUAACUGAAAAUGCAAUUCGCUUGCAAAUGCAACAGUAAAAUGUGUUGUGGAUGCAGGUUCCUGCUGAGCUCAGGAUCUGUGAAACUGAAAAGGGAACGGUGUGCUUUCAGAUGCACAUCUAUAACAGAAAUACACCACAAACACUUGCUGAACUGAGGUUUCUCGUGCUGAAAUUAGACUUCAGCUACAGUAACGAGGUCAAAUCAUGAUUUCACUUUGAUUUGAAGUGCAUGAAACAUAAAUACAUAAUACAUUAAAUGCAUUUUCUAAAAAAA